ACGAACGCUGGCGGCAGGCCUAACACAUGCAAGUCGAACGGACGUAGCAAUACGUUAGUGGCGCACGGGUGAGUAACGCGUGGGAACCUACCCUGGGGUACGGAACAACGGAGGGAAACUUCCGCUAAUACCGUAUACGCCUUUCGAGGGAAAGAUUUAUCGCCCUGGGCGGGGCCCGCGUCUGAUUAGCUUGUUGGUGAGGUAACGGCUCACCAAGGCGACGAUCGGUAGCUGGUCUGAGAGGAUGAUCAGCCACACUGGGACUGAGACACGGCCCAGACUCCUACGGGAGGCAGCAGUGGGGAAUAUUGGACAAUGGGGGCAACCCUGAUCCAGCCAUGCCGCGUGAGUGAUGAAGGCCUUCGGGUUGUAAAGCUCUUUCGUCCGCGACGAUGAUGACGGUAGCGGAAGAAGAAGCCCCGGCUAACUUCGU
rnacentral:rRNA from 1 species